rnacentral:miRNA from 1 species
UAAUAUUGGGUUGGCCAAAAAGUCUGUUCUGGUUUUUCUGUAAGAUGGUAUAAAACCCUGAAUGAACUUUUUGGCCAACUCAAUGUAU